rnacentral:rRNA from 1 species
AUGAAGUUGCUUAUGACUGAGUGGCGGACGGGUGAGUAACGCGUGGGUAACCUGCCUUGUACUGGGGGAUAGCAGCUGGAAACGGCUGGUAAUACCGCAUAAGCGCACAAUGUUGCAUGACAUGGUGUGAAAAACUCCGGUGGUAUAAGAUGGACCCGCGUCUGAUUAGCUAGUUGGUGAGAUAACAGCCCACCAAGGCGACGAUCAGUAGCCGACCUGAGAGGGUGACCGGCCACAUUGGGACUGAGACACGGCCCAGACUCCUACGGGAGGCAGCAGUGGGGAAUAUUGCACAAUGGAGGAAACUCUGAUGCAGCGACGCCGCGUGAGUGAAGAAGUAAUUCGGUAUGUAAACUUCUAUCAGCAGGGAAGAAAAUGACGGUACCUGACUAAGAAGCCCCGGCUAACUACGUGCCAGCAGCCGCGGUAAUACGUAGGGGGCAAGCGUUAUCCGGAUUUACUGGGUGUAAAGGGAGCGUAGACGGCUGUGCAAGUCUGAAGUGAAAGGCAUGGGCUCAACCUGUGGACUGCUUUGGAAACUGUGCAGCUAGAGUGUCGGAGAGGUAAGUGGAAUUCCUAGUGUAGCGGUGAAAUGCGUAGAUAUUAGGAGGAACACCAGUGGCGAAGGCGGCUUACUGGACGAUGACUGACGUUGAGGCUCGAAAGCGUGGGGAGCAAACAGGA